GAGCUGGACAGACACGAAGCCUUUAAAGCUGUUAGAACAACAGUAAUAUUGGAUUUCUAUGGUCAUUUAUUAACAGUUUUAUCCUUCCUACCUCAGACUGACAGAUCCUGGUGACUCAGUGCACCUGAUGAUGAUGAUGAUGAUGAUGAAUACCUCUCGUCUCUAUCACUGAUGAAGGAGAUGAUCUAACAUCAAAAACACACAGCAGGACCGAAGCCCUUCAACAAGAAUGGACAUUUGCCAACAGCAACAUAUCGGCCUGUUUGAAUCAAUAUGACAACAGAAAAACCCCAUAAAAGCUGAUCAGAUGUGCUGCUGUAACGUCAGCUGCAGAUCUGGAGAAUCUGUGAAUAUCAGAGAGGAAGCUGAACAAGAAGCAAAUGGAGCCCCCCCCCCCCACCACCCCUCCC